AGAGAUUGAUGAGUACCAUAACAUAGAAGCUUAAACUUACAAACUUGAUAGUAUGUGAUCAUUGUGUUGCUUGUACGGUACUACGAUCUACUCUAUGUUGUCAAAAGCCCUUCAGGAUGCACCUAGGCCCUCAGGUGAGUCACAAGAAAAGCACCUUGAGGCCAUCCAGGCACUCCGGCGACGUUCCGACGAGGUUCUAGUAAGGAUUUGAUGAGUUUCUGCCCAAUAAUUUCUCUAUGCUCACAAGAGAAGAGAUAUAGCACACCUGCUAUUGAAUCAAGUAACUUACGACAGUAAUAAAUUUUUAUUAUUAUGUGAACUACGGUGUAUGGGUAAAAGAUUAAAGAUCCUUAAGUUAAUUUAGAGGUAAUGCAGUCUUCCAUGUAGCAGUAAUAUUUAUAUAAGUGUAUAACUAUAUGAUAACUCAGAGUUUAUCAUAUAGAAAUAACUUUAACGCGGUGAAGUAUACGUAUUUGU
rnacentral:lncRNA from 1 species